rnacentral:rRNA from 1 species
GUUGAACGCUGGCGGCAGGCUUAACACAUGCAAGUCGAACGAGUGGCGGACGGGUGAGUAAUGCUUGGGAAUCUCGCUUACGUAAGGGGAUAACUACGGGAAACUGUAGCUAAUACCGCGUACCCUAGGAUGAGCCCAAGUGGGAUUAGGUAGUUUGUGAGGUAAAGGCUCACCAAGCCGACGAUCUCUAGCUGGUCUGAUAGGAUGACAAGCCACACUGGGACUGAGACACGGCCCAGACUCCUCCGGUAGGCAGCAGUGGGGAAAAGUGCACAAUGGGGGCAGCCUGGCGCAGCCAUGCCGAGUGAAUGGAGAAGGCCUUCGGGUUGUAAAGUUCUUUCGGUAGCGAGGCGUUAACUACAGAAGAAGCACCGGCUAACUCCGUGCCAGCAGCCGCGGUAAUAC